rnacentral:rRNA from 1 species
UACGUAGGUGGCGAGCGUUGUCCGGAAUAACUGGGCGUAAAGGGAGCGUAGGUGGUUGGUUAAGUUAAAUGUGAAAGCCCAGGGCUCAACUCUGGAAUUGCAUUUAAUACUGGUCGACUAGAGUGCAGGAGGGGUAAACGGAAUUUCUAGUGUAGCGGUGAAAUGCGUAGAUAUUAGGAAGAACACCGGAGGCGAAGGCGGUUUACUGGACUGCAACUGACACUGAGGCUCGAAAGCGUGGGGAGCAAAC